UUGACGCCAGGAAUCAUAAACCUGCUUACUGACUUGACUGAGAAUGAAUGUGAAAGAUUUGCAGAUCCUCAGCACCACUGACAAACAUCUAAUCUUGUGAAAUGUGUGCAGAAGCAGCACCACAAGACUGCAGCUACGAUCAACAGAGAUCCAGCAGCAGCAGAAAUCAGCACGAUGUACAGUAAAGGAGAGAGUCACAUGACUCACAUUC